ACGAACGCUGGCGGCGUGCCUAAUACAUGCAAGUAGAACGCUGAAGGAGGAGCUUGCUUCUCUGGAUGAGUUGCGAACGGGUGAGUAACGCGUAGGUAACCUGCCUGGUAGCGGGGGAUAACUAUUGGAAACGAUAGCUAAUACCGCAUAAUAGCAGUUGUUGCAUGACAACUGUUUGAAAGGUGCAAUUGCACCACUACCAGAUGGACCUGCGUUGUAUUAGCUAGUUGGUGGGGUAACGGCUCACCAAGGCGACGAUACAUAGCCGACCUGAGAGGGUGGUCGGCCACACUGGGACUGAGACACGGCCCAGACUCCUCCGGGAGGCAGCAGUAGGGAAUCUUCGGCAAUGGACGGAAGUCUGACCGAGCCACGCCGCGUGAGUGCAGAAGGUUUUCGGAUCGUAAAGCUCUGUUGUAAGAGAAGAACGAGUGUGAGAGUGGAAAGUUCACACUGUGACGGUAUCUUACCAGAAAGGGACGGCUAACUACGUG
rnacentral:rRNA from 1 species